rnacentral:rRNA from 1 species
AUGAACGCUAGCUACAGGCUUAACACAUGCAAGUCGAGGGGCAGCAUGAUUGAAGCUUGCUUCAAUUGAUGGCGACCGGCGCACGGGUGAGUAACACGUAUCCAACCUUCCGUACACUCAGGGAUAGCCUUUCGAAAGAAAGAUUAAUACCUGAUGGUAUGAUGAGAUUGCAUGAUAGCAUCAUUAAAGAUUUAUCGGUGUACGAUGGGGAUGCGUUCCAUUAGGUAGUAGGCGGGGUAACGGCCCACCUAGCCUACGAUGGAUAGGGGUUCUGAGAGGAAGGCCCCCCACAUUGGAACUGAGACACGGUCCAAACUCCUACGGGAGGCAGCAGUGAGGAAUAUUGGUCAAUGGACGAGAGUCUGAACCAGCCAAGUAGCGUGAAGGAUGAAGGUCCUACGGAUUGUAAACUUCUUUUAUAAGGGAAUAAACCCUCCCACGUGUGGGAGCUUGUAUGUACCUUAUGAAUAAGCAUCGGCUAACUCCGUG